CCUACGGGAGGCAGCAGUGAGGAAUAUUGGUCAAUGGGCGGGAGCCUGAACCAGCCAAGCCGCGUGCGGGAAGAAGGUACAGCGUAUCGUAAACCUCUUUUGUCAGGGAACAAAGGCGGGGACUAGUCCCCGGAUGAGGGUACCUGAAGAAAAAGCAUCGGCUAACUCCGUGCCAGCAGCCGCGGUAAUACGGAGGAUGCGAGCGUUAUCCGGAUUUAUUGGGUUUAAAGGGUGCGCACGGGGCCUGUUAAGUCAGCGGGAAAAGCCCGGGGCUCAACCCCGGCGAGCCGUUGAAACUGGCGGGCUGGAGUUGGAGAGAAGUACGCGGAAUGCGCGGUGUAGCGGUGAAAUGCUUAGAUAUCGCGCAGAACCCCGAUUGCGAAGGCAGCGUACCGGCUCCACACUGACGCUGAGGCACGAAAGCGUGGGUAUCGAACAGGAUUAGAUACCCUAGUAGUC
rnacentral:rRNA from 1 species